UGUAAUAGUGAAAGUAAGAAAUGUAAACAAAGUGAAAAGAUUGGAAAAUUUUCAGAUUUGUAUAAGAUAUAAAAGUAUGUUUAAUAAUUGUUGAAAAUGAUAUUGUGUGUGUGUGUGUGUGUGUGUGUAAAGGGACCCCUGACCAUUAGGUCCAGUCGUGACCGACUCUGGGGUUGCAGCGCUCAUCUCGCUCUAUAGGCCGAGGGAGCCGGCGUACAG